rnacentral:rRNA from 1 species
UUGGAGGGCAAGUCUGGUGCCAGCAGCCGCGGUAAUUCCAGCUCCAAUAGCGUAUAUUAAAGUUGUUGCAGUUAAAAAGCUCGUAGUUGAAUUUCGGGAUCAAUUUAUUGGUCGUGCUAUUGUACGUACUGGUAUUAUUGAUUCCUACCUUCUGACGAACCAUGAUGUCAUUAAUUUGGUGUCAUGGGGAAUCAGGACUGUUACUUUGAAAAAAUUAGAGUGUUUAAAGCAGGCUCACGCUUGAACACAUUAGCAUGGAAUAACGAAAUAGGACGUUUGAUUCUAUUUUGUUGGUUUCUAGGAUCGACGUAAUGAUUAAUAGGGAUAGUUGGGGGCAUUAGUAUUCAAUUGUCAGAGGUGAAAUUCUUGGAUUUAUCGAAGACUAACUACUGCGAAAGCAUUUGCCAAGGAUGUUUUCAUUAAUCAAGAACGAAAGUUAGGGGAUCGAAGACGAUCAGAUACCGUCGUAGUCUUAACCAUAAACUAUGCCGACUAGGGAUCGGAUGAUGUUAAUUUUUUAAUGACUCAUUCGGCGCCUUACGGGAAACCAAAGUGUUUGGGUUC